UCUGAAAUCGUAUAUGGACUUGCAUCGACAUUCUUGCAGCCUCUCACUCAUCGCGGCCCUACCGUAGCAAACGCCAGACUUCCGCCUCAACUCCGUUGCCGUCGCUGUCUUCGCACGGCACGACCACCGCACGGCGUUGUCGUACAGCUGCAGCCCAGCAUCGCCGCCGACACCCUUCAACCCGGUCGCUGCUGCGGUAACUCGUCGUCGACCGCUG
rnacentral:misc_RNA from 1 species